ACGUAGGGGGCAAGCGUUGAUCGGAAUCACUGGGCUUACAGCGCGUGUAGGCGGGGCCGCAGGUCUUCUGUGAAAGCCCCCGGCUCAACCGGGGAAUUGCAGGGGGAACCUCCGCUCUUGAGGCAGGUAGAGGUGAACGGAACGUGUGGUGGAGCGGUGAAAUGCGUAGAUAUCGCACGGAACGCCGAUGGUGAAGGCGGGUCACUGGGCCUGUCCUGACGCUGAGGCGCGAGAGCGUGGGGAGCAAACAG
rnacentral:rRNA from 1 species